rnacentral:rRNA from 1 species
UACGUAGGUGACAAGCGUUAUCCGGAUUUAUUGGGCGUAAAGCGCACGCAGGCGGUCUAUCAAAGUCCUGACGUGAAAUCUCUCGGCUUAACCGGGAGCGGUCGUUGGAAACUGAUGGACUUGAGGCGAUGAGAGGGGUGUGGAAUUCCCGGUGUAGAGGUGAAAUUCGUAGAUAUUGGGAAGAACACCGGUGGCGAAGGCGGCUCUCUGGACCGAUAC